UGCAAGUCGAGCGGUAAGGCCCUUCGGGGUACACGAGCGGCGAACGGGUGAGUAACACGUGAGCAACCUGCCCCUGACUCCGGGAUAAGCGGUGGAAACGCCGUCUAAUACCGGAUACGACCCUCCACCUCAUGGUGGUGGGUGGAAAGUUUUUCGGUCGGGGAUGGGCUCGCGGCCUAUCAGCUUGUUGGUGGGGUAACGGCCUACCAAGGCGAUUACGGGUAGCCGGCCUGAGAGGGCGACCGGCCACACUGGGACUGAGACACGGCCCAGACUCCUGCGGGAGGCAGCAGUGGGGAAUAUUGCGCAAUGGGCGAAAGCCUGACGCAGCGACGCCGCGUGGGGGAUGACGGCCUUCGGGUUGUAAACCUCUUUUACCACUCACGCAGGCUCCACGUUUUCGUGGGGUUGACGGUAGGUGGGGAAUAAGGACCGGCUAACUACGUGCCAGCAGCCGCGGUAAUACGUAGGGUCCGAGCGUUGUCCGGAAUUAUUGGGCGUAAAGAGCUCGUAGGCGGCGUGUCGCGUCUGCUGUGAAAGACCGGGGCUUAACCCCGGUUCUGCAGUGGAUACGGGCAUGCUAGAGGUAGGUAGGGGAGACUGGAAUUCCUGGUGUAGCGGUGAAAUGCGCAGAUAUCAGGAGGAACACCGGUGGCGAAGGCGGGUCUCUGGGCCUUACCUGACGCUGAGGAGCG
rnacentral:rRNA from 1 species